GGUGAUGCUGGCUCCGUCCAGGAUGGCCUGGGCCAGGCUGUGGUCAUUGGCCUCCACGGCGUAGGCUGCAGCCUUCAGGGCAUCCCAGAUUUCCUUGCGGCCCUCGAAGGCGGGCGCCGUGUCCCAGAACUCGUCCCGCUUGCUGCGCAGCUGCCCGUCCGUCAUGGGGUAGUCGCUCUUCCACUUGGGACGCUCCUUCUUCAGGGGCUCAUUGCGGCCUGCUCUCUUGCGGGGGCUCCCGGCGGAGGGCCGCUCCCGGCGCUGCCGCCCCACGCAGCCGCCCAUGGCGGGGGCUCACCGACGGCGGCGGCGGCGCGGGCGGCUCGGCAUGGGGCCGGCCCGGCUCCACACCGCACUCGACCGCGGGCCCCGGCGUCGCGCGACCGCACCGCCCGACUCCGAACGCCCGAGCCGCCCCGCCGCCAAAGCCGGCCCUCGCCGCGCCCCGCCUCCCCAGGUGCGCAUGUGACCGCCCCGUCGCGUCCGCCGCUCCCCGCUGCCGCUCCGCGGGGAGCGCCGCCCAC
rnacentral:lncRNA from 1 species